CUUGUCUUUCUUUGCUGGCGACCGGCGCACGGGUGAGUAACACGUAUCCAACCUGCCCUUUACUCGGGGAUAGCCUUUCGAAAGAAAGAUUAAUACCCGAUAGUAUAAUGAUUCCGCAUGGUUUCAUUAUUAAAGGAUUCCGGUAAAGGAUGGGGAUGCGUUCCAUUAGGUUGUUGGUGAGGUAACGGCUCACCAAGCCUUCGAUGGAUAGGGGUUCUGAGAGGAAGGUCCCCCACAUUGGAACUGAGACACGGUCCAAACUCCUACGGGAGGCAGCAUG
rnacentral:rRNA from 1 species